rnacentral:rRNA from 1 species
UACGUAGGGGGCUAGCGUUGUCCGGAAUCAUUGGGCGUAAAGCGCGUGUAGGCGGCCCGAUAAGUCCGCUGUGAAAGUCCAGGGCUCAACCCUGGGAUGCCGGUGGAUACUGUCGGGCUCGAGUCCGGAAGAGGCGAGUGGAGUUCCUGGUGUAGCGGUGAAAUGCGCAGAUAUCAGGAGGAACACCAAUGGCGAAGGCAGCUCGCUGGGACGUGACUGACGCUGAGACGCGAAAGCGUGGGGAGCAAACAGG